CUGGCGGCAGGCCUAACACAUGCAAGUCGAGCGGUAACAGGUCCAGCUUGCUGGAUGCUGACGAGCGGCGGACGGGUGAGUAAUGCAUAGGAAUUUACCCGGUAGUGGGGGAUAACCUGGGGAAACCCAGGCUAAUACCGCAUACGUCCUACGGGAGAAAGGGGGCUUCGGCUCCCGCUAUUGGAUGAGCCUAUGUCGGAUUAGCUGGUUGGUGAGGUAAUGGCUCACCAAGGCGACGAUCCGUAGCUGGUCUGAGAGGAUGAUCAGCCACAUCGGGACUGAGACACGGCCCGAACUCCUACGGGAGGCAGCAGUGGGGAAUAUUGGACAAUGGGGGCAACCCUGAUCCAGCCAUGCCGCGUGUGUGAAGAAGGCCCUCGGGUUGUAAAGCACUUUCAGCGAGGAAGAACGCCUGUCGGUUAAUACCCGGCAGGAGAGACAUCACUCGCAGAAGAAGCACCGGCUAACUCCGUGCCAGCAGCCGCGGUAAUACGGAGGGUGCAAGCGUUAAUCGGAAUUACUGGGCGUAAAGCGCGCGUAGGUGGCUUGAUAAGCCGGUUGUGAAAGCCCCGGGCUCAACCUGGGAACGGCAUCCGGAACUAUGAGGCUAGAGUGCAGGAGAGGAAGGUAGAAUUCCCGGUGUAGCGGUGAAAUGCGUAGAGAUCGGGAGGAAUACCAGUGGCGAAGGCGGCCUUCUGGA
rnacentral:rRNA from 1 species